AUGUUAUAAAAGGCGUGAAGAAAAAAGAUGGCAAUUGGCAAUGAUAUUGUUGAAGCUGUUGGUUGGCUUUAUGUAGCAUGAACAAACUGUGGUUGAGACCAAGAAAACAACAAGGAAAGCCGAUAGUUUUUCAUUAAAAAAAGGGAAAACUU